AGUUGGCUCAUUGACUUAGAGGUACAUUCAAAAAAUAUAUACACUUGAUUUCAGCAUCUUUUGCCAGUUCUAUUUUGAGUCUGGUUUGUUAUUUUUAGCUUAUAAUGAUGGCUGCAUAUCAAAUGUAAUUGAAUGUAACAAUUAUUUGGUUUCUCUCUCUGACUAACCCAUGGUCAUAUUAUUUGCGAAAGCUGUGCAUUCAAGCUAGUAGUAAGUUGAUUUUCAUGUCUUGUACCAUAAACUUAUUUACUUUUUGACUGGUUAUAAACUGAUUUGGAAGAGGAAAAGGCACAUGAAAUUGCCAAGUUACAGGAUACUUUGCAUGCAAUGGUGAGCUUCACUUAUUUAUCUUUCUCUUUUUCUCCUAUUAAACUUGCAGCCCCAAAUCGAAAGUCACUGGAACUAAACCAGAUGUUGAGAAUUUGAUACUUGAAAAACAGAUGAGAAAUAGAAAAAUAUAAGGAGGCAGAGAAGCCUGAGGUAGAGGAUCAAUUCAUGACCCACUGUUUGAAUCAAUGGACACAAUAAUGAUGAAUGGUUUUUGUACAGAUGAAGUUCCAAUUUUAGAACCUAAUUAAGCAACCUUAUUGUAUAUUUUGAUUUAAUUAGAGGACAAUAGUUGAUGUAUCAAUACACUUUGUUGAUAUAUGGUUGUUACUUGUUAUUAUAAUUGAUGUAUCAACACUUUGUUUA